UUGAACGCUGGCGGCAUGCUUUACACAUGCAAGUCGAACGGCAGCGGGGGCUUCGGCCUGCCGGCGAGUGGCGAACGGGUGAGUAAUAUAUCGGAACAUAUCCUGUCGUGGGGGAUAACUAAUCGAAAGGUUAGCUAAUACCGCAUACGACCUGAGGGAGAAAGCGGGGGCUCGCAAGACCUCGCGCGAUUGGAGUGGCCGAUAUCUGAUUAGCUAGAUGGUGAGGUAAAGGCUCACCAUGGCGACGAUCAGUAGCUGGUCUGAGAGGAUGAUCAGCCACACUGGGACUGAGACACGGCCCAGACUCCUACGGGAGGCAGCAGUGGGGAAUUUUGGACAAUGGGCGAAAGCCUGAUCCAGCCAUUCCGCGUGAGUGAAGAAGGCCUUCGGGUUGUAAAGCUCUUUCAGCCGGAACGAAACGGUACGCUCUAACAUAGCGUGCUAAUGACGGUACCGGCAGAAGAAGCACCGGCUAACUACGU
rnacentral:rRNA from 1 species